rnacentral:lncRNA from 1 species
UUAGUUUAACAAGAAUCUAGCUGCUUACAUCUAUGUUGAUCUAACUCAUCAUUUUCCCUAAAGUACCUCUGUCCAACGCAUAUGCUGGCAUGGGUACGGGGUAAGUUUCUCCAAAUAUAUGUUAGAACAGAGAAAUGCUUACAUCUAUGUUGAUCUAACUCAUCAUUUUCCCUAAAGUACCUCUGUCCAACGCAUAUGCUGGCAUGGGUACGGGGUAAGUUUCUCCAAAUAUAUGUUAGAACAGAGAAAAAAAAAUUGAUCAAACCCAUGUUGGAAACAUCCCUGUCUCCGACACCCGAGUUUAAGUAAUAUAGGUAUAGAUCAUAAAGCGACAAGAUAAAAGAAAUAUAAAUAUAUACGUGUGUGUGAAAAUUGUACAAGCACUAGGACUCUAGAAAUGAUUUGAUGAGUAGCUUUCUGAUGAACUGCUAGAGCUAAGCACUCACUAAAGACAUGGAGUGGUCUCAACAUUUCCUAUUAUUUUAUCAAUCAGUGUUUCUGAUAUGAUUUCGUCUUAUAGGUCAAAAUAUAUGUCAAUAUGGAUCGUGUAAAUGGCAUUUGCAUUAUAAGUUUAUAACAUUUGUUCCAGUAUUCUCAUACAUCAACUGAAACCCAAAAUAGUUUUCGGCAAAGGAAACAACUAAAUUACUUUCCCUUGGCUCUGAAAUAUAAAAGGCAGAGACCAAAGAAACAUUCAAGUUUUCAGAAGAAAUCGGUUAACCUUGAGUGUCAUGGAAAAGCAAUUCAUCACAUUUAUUGAUCUUUCCCCCACUAUUGAAAGCCAGCGAACUCCAAAAUGAAUUCAUUUUCAUGUCUAUAUACACAGAGCAGUAUAUCGCUUUUGUAUAAAGCACUUUGAAACAUAAGCUUUG